GGCAUUAAGAGGUUAUUUUUAAUGUCUGGCCUGCCCUAUGGCUUAGGCUAAAUGGCCGCAGUAUCUUGACUGUGUAAAGGUAGCAUAAUCAAUUGUCUAUUAAUUGUAGACUUGAAUGAAAGGUUGGACUUAGCUUUGCUUUUUUGGUUGUUAUUGAUGAAUUUAUAUAUUUUGUAAAAAUACAAGAGUGGGAGUAGGGGACGAGAAGACCCUAUUGAGCUUAAUAUUUAUUUUAUGUUUUGCUGUAAAUGGGAGAAUUUACAUGACACAAUAUUUUACUGGGGCGGUAGAUUCGUAAGAAACGUAAUUUUUUGAUCCACUAAAAUGUGAGUGUAGGAUCAAGUUACUGUAGGGAUAACAGCUUAAUUUUGCUUGAUAGUUCUUAUUGAUGGCGGAGUUUGUGACCUCGAUGUUGGCUUAAGGUACCUACAUAGAAGUAUAAAGCUUGUAAGGUGGUUUGUUCAACCAUUAAACCUUUAUG
rnacentral:rRNA from 1 species